UACGGGGGGAGCAAGCGUUGUUCGGAUUUACUGGGCGUAAAGGGCGCGUAGGCGGCCACCGCAAGUCAAUUGUGAAAUCUCCGGGCUUAACCCGGGAAGGUCAGCCGAUACUGCGGGGCUAGAGUGCAGAAGGGGCAACUGGAAUUCUCGGUGUAGCGGUGAAAUGCGUAGAUAUCGAGAGGAACACCUGCGGCGAAGGCGGGUUGCUGGGCUGACACUGACGCUGAGGCGCGAAAGCUAGGGGAGCGAACGGG
rnacentral:rRNA from 1 species